rnacentral:tRNA from 1 species
GGUGGGGUACCCAAGUGGCCAACGGGGGCAGACUGUAAAUCUGCUGGCAUCGCCUUCCAAGGUUCGAAUCCUUGCCCCACCACCA